rnacentral:lncRNA from 1 species
GGAGAAUACUCUGUGUAUCUAACUUAUUUAUCUAUUUAUUUUGAUAUAGAGUCUUGCUCUGUUGCCCAGACUGGAGUACAGUGGCAUGAUCUCUGCUCACUGCAACCUUCACCUCACGGGUUCAAGCGAUUCUCCUGCCUCAGCCUCAUGAGUAGCUGGGAUUACAGUGGCAGGAGCAUCCCUGCGAGAGGCCUGACCCAGGUGUGUAGCCCAAGCAGCCAGCCCGGAAAUCCAAUGGGGUGUUCUUGGGGUGCAGAGGAUUUGUGACAGUCCAUACACAGAAAAAGGAAAAGGUGGCUUUGAAGAGGCAAGUGCAAAGAUACCAGAGAUGGGGUAUUGUCAUUUUAGGCAGUGAAUUGACGGUUUCACUUACCAGGGAGCUCCCAUCGUGAGCUCCCAAAAGGCCUAACAACUGCUAGGCCCACGGGUCAUUAGCUCCACCUUUACGGAGAAGCUGCACUAUGCAUGUCAGAAGCGGGGUAGGCAGGGAUGAGGGAAAGGACGGGAUAAGGAAAGAAAAGAUGUGCGCUGAGCUGAGCUGCGGGAGGGUAAACCUAACUACGUAACAAUGAGCAGGCUGUGAGAGGCUCCUUGCCCCUUGCAGAUUUGUGAAAAAUCAAACUUCCGCCCAAGAAGCCGGCAUUUCAGGUAGGGGCGAUGAUGUCACAAUCACAGGUUGAGAUCUGCUGCCCAGGCCAUGCUUGCUCCCCGCAGGCAGGCGAGAUUUCGGAACAGCCAGGACCUCCUCCGCAUGGGGGAACCGCUCUAGACGCUCAGAGGGGCGGAGUUGAAACGGACCUGACUGGCCAGUGUCUCAAAGACGUGGAUGGUGACCAGCUCUCUCCAGAACAGAUGGCGCUCCAGCUUUGUGGGAGAAACUUUCAAGAUGGAGUCUUGCUCUGUUGCCCAGGCUGGAAUGCAAUGAUGCAAUCUCAGCUCACUGCAACCUCCAUCUCCCAGAUUCAAGUGGUUCUCCUGCCUCAGCCUCCCAAGUAGUUGGGACUACAGGUGCUGCCUUCAGGAGGGAUUAUGACAUAUGCCUGGACCAAACACCUGGAUGACGUGACACUCCUGCAUGAGCCUUGCCCUAAGGGGAUAUUUUUACAUGUUGGUGAACUCAGCAUCUAGGUGAUGUGACUCUACUCUUCUGCCUGGGCCCUGCCCACAGAGGGCAUUGGAACAUUUCACUUGGCUCAGCACCAAGAAGAUGUUACUCUCCUACCUGGACCUCUCCCACAGGGGACACCUAGAUGAUAUGAUUUUUCUUCCUGGUUCCUGCCCAGACUUCAAAUUGUGAUGUAUAUCUGGGCCCAAAACACAGGGUCCAGGCAACAGAGGAGAGACACAUCACCUAUAUGAUUGGCCCAGCGAUGGGUGAAAAUCCUCUCUGAGAGCAGGGCCCAUUCAGGAGAGUCAUAUCACCUAGCUGCUUGGCCAAGUGAAAUAUCACAAUGCACCCUUUGCACAGGGCCAAUACAGGACAGUUACAUCACCAGGGAGCUGGGUCCAGCUAUAUGUCACAAUUCCUUUUGUGGAAAGUGUCCAGGCAGAAAAGCAGAGUCACAUCACCUAGCCAGUGGGCCCAGAGAGAUGCCACAAUGCCAUUUGUAGGCUGGGCCCUGGGAGAAGAAUAACAUCACCCAGUUCUGGGCCCAGCAAUAUGUUGUGAUCCCAACUGGAAAAAGUUUCCAGACAAGAGAGGAGAAUCACAUCAUCAUGAUGAUAAGCCAAGAGAUUUCACAAUCCCCCCCUCUGCACAUGUCCCAGGCAGAAGACCUGAAUUACCUUUUUACUUAGGCCAGUAAUGUCACAGUGCUUCCUCAGGGCAGGGCACAAACAAGAUAGGACAGUCACAUCAUUAAGUGCUAGACUUAAUGCUAGAUAUGUCAUAACCUUACUUGUGGGCAGGAUCCAGGAAGGAGAGAUUUAUGUCACCUAGGUGCUCAGUAAAGAGAUAUAUUACAAUUACAAUUCCUUUGAGGGAAGUGGCCAGGCAAAAUAGUCACAUCACCUAGGUGCUUGGCCCAGGUAUAAGUCACAAGAUAUCUGUGUGUUGAGCCCAGAAGGACUAUCAAAUUACGAAGUUUCUACGUAGAAGUGCAUGUCACAGACACCUGCAGGAAGGCCCAGGAAUGAGACUCCCAAUUCCACACAUUUUCCCACUCCAAGUGUAAGAGUCAACAACUCCUGAGACUUAGGCCCAAGUACAUGAGUCACAAUCUCAACAGUGGAUUGCAUCCUGCCAUGAGAGCCCCAAUCCCUUCUCUAAGCUGUGUUCCAGUAGAGGAGUCACAACAUCAAUGGUGUGCUGAAUCCUGGUUGGAGAGUUCCCACUUCACCUGUGGACUGGAUCUGUAUAUGAGAGUCUCAAUUCCAGCUCUCAACUGCCCCUGGGUGUGAGAUUCAGGACCUCAAUUGUGAGCUGUGUACACAUGGACAUGUAACAAUUUCUACUUUUGGCUGUGUGUUCAUACAAGACUCAAUCUCAUCUGUGUUCUCGGCCCUGUUAUGACACUCUUUGUACCACCCAUGGGAUUUAUUCAAUACGCAUGGGUGUCAUAAUCCUCUGUGAUCUUCAUACAAGUAGAAGACCCAGGACCUUACCCAUGGCCCUAGGCCUAUCUAUGAGAAUUGACAUUUUUCCUCACAUUUUUAAUUUUAACAAAUAAGUUAUUCUCCUGUCAGUUCAGAUUCAUCAGGACAUUGAAUCAUAUUCAGAAGAAUUAAAACUGAAAGACUAAUAGCCAAUAGAUGAAAAAAGAUGCAAAGAAGACACAUUUGCUUUUUAUGCACACAUCACUUCCAGUCACUAUGUUGAGCAGAGUCAGUGUGAGGACAAUUGAGAAUAGCAGUUUUCUGGCAGGACAGCCACUUCUCAGCAGAAGAUGACACAAUAAAAGUAUAAAUCUUUCAUGGGAGGCUCACAUAUUUUCAGCAAAUUAAGCAUAUGCAUGAAUAAAAUUCUUGUGGUAAAAUAAA